UUAGAUACCCUGGUAGUCCACGCAGUAAACGAUGAAUGCUAGUUGUCCGGGGCGAUUGAGUUCUGGGUGACACAGCGAAAGCGUUAAGCAUUCCACCUGGGGAGUACGCCGGCAACGGUGAAACUCAAAGGAAUUGACGGGGGCCCGCACAAGCGGAGGAACAUGUGGUUUAAUUCGAUGAUACGCGAGGAACCUUACCCGGGCUCAAACGCAGGAGGGAUGUUUUUGAAAGGAGGCAGCCAGCAAUGGUCUCCUGCGAGGUGCUGCAUGGUUGUCGUCAGCUCGUGCCGUGAGGUGUCGGCUUAAGUGCCAUAACGAGCGCAACCCCUACCUACAGUUGCCAUCGCGUGAUGGCGGGCACUCUGUGGGGACUGCCUGCGCAAGCAGUGAGGAAGGCGGNGAUGACGUCAAAUCAGCACGGCCCUUACGUCCGGNGCGACACACGUGUUACAAUGGCAGGUACAGCGGGAAGCCACCCGGCGACGGNGCGCGGAACCCGAAAACCUGUCUAGUUCNGAUUUGGAGUCUGCAACCCGACUCCAUGAAGCUGGAUUCGCUAGUAAUCGCGCAUCAGCCCGGGCGCGGUGAAUACGUUCCCGGGCCUUGUACACACCGNCCGUCAAGCCAUGGAACCCGGGGGUGCCUGAAAUGCGUGACCGCAAAGAACGCCCUAGGUAAAACCCGUGA
rnacentral:rRNA from 1 species